GAAGUCAGCAUACAGGAUUCUGUUGGGGAAGCCCUUUCUGCAGAUCCUGAUGCCUUCCAGCACACCGUUACAGCGCAGCUGGUGCAUGACCAGAGGAUUCUCCAUGGCCCCAGGAGUCUUGGUCUCAUUGGGGAUGAUGCAACGCACAAAGUGGGGAUGCAGGAUGCCUCUUGCAUUGGGUGAAUUUCUGUCAGGGACAGCAAGCAUGACCACACACAAGAGAGAUGCUGAUUCCUUUUGCUUUUAAGUUCCUUCUUCCCUCAACAUCUGCACAUCAGCCCCAACCAGGAGGCUCCAACCAAAAAAUUAUUAAAAAUGUGGGCCCAGUGUACACUUGUAGAUCACCGUCAAUGUAGUCUCAGGAAAGUGUUUUCUUUCCACAGGGACCACAGAAGCAUCUGAACAGGUGAUGUAUCGUUAUUCUGAAAGGUAUAUUUGACCUCACUUCAAAAAUAUUAAGAAGGAAUACAAUCUGAUACUUUUAUAAUAACACUACUACUCAUAACCAUUUUAUGGCCAAUUCACUAUUCUAGGUCAUUCUUGGAGUUGCCCCAACCUCCGGUCAAUAACAGAUUCUGCACGCAGCUCUUUACUGUGUAGAACUUUUGCAUUGUGUAGAAUUUUGCAUUGUAUGGACUUCUUGUUACAUGCUUUAUUUGAUAUAGAAAAACAUUUAGUCUCUAGUGUAGCAUUGCUAAGCAAGUGCACCUCUUGUUCUGAAUGUACACUGCCUUCACUAUAUUAUUAUUAUUAUUAUUGCGUUCUCUAACUGGUUAGCAUUACUCAAAUUGAUUUCAACAGAAUAUUGUCAUAGAAUAAUGUUGUCAUAUGUAUUCAAGGCUGUUAACAAGACACUGUUUGAAUACAGUGGUCUAAAAUGUAAGUACACUUCGGAUGAUGCAGAUACGGAGGCUAAAUUGUAAUGACACGAAAAGGGUUACUGUUCAAGACAAUGUAUAGAUACGGUCACACCUUUACCAUUGUUGAUGGCAAGAAUUUCCCUCCCUCAUAUUCAGUGUCAUCUUUGUUUUGUAUAUACAAUUGGUAAAUAACCCAAUUAAAUUUGAGACACACUGUAACUAUUACUCACAAUGUUAUCCAAACUUAAACGAGGUGUUAAAUGUUUGUCUUUUACUAUGAUACCAUUUGACGUAUGUUAUCUGUAUUUUUUUAAAUUAAAAUCAGUGUUUUUUUAUAUGAUUGUGUUAAAUAAUAGUGCAUUUUAUUCUUCCAAAAUGUCUAGAAAUCCUAUUCAUAAGGGCAUCAACACCAACCUUGAUAUCUAUACCAGACGUGAAAAACCUUUGGCACAAAAGGUAACAUAUUACAAGCAAUAUACAGAGAUGCAAUUUAAAUGUACUUUAUUAUUUAUUCUGCUCAGUAACAUUUAGAAAAACUAAAGCAAUAAAGUCAGGAGAUUUUCAGAAAAAUCCA